rnacentral:rRNA from 1 species
CAAUAGCGUAUAUUAAAGUUGUUGCAGUUAAAAAGCUCGUAGUUGGAUUUCUGGUGGGAGCGAACGGUCUGGCGCUUAGCGCGAGUACUUGCAUCGUCUCCGGCCAUCCUUGGGGAGAGUCUGUCUGGCAUUAGGUUGUCGGGCAGAGGAUCCUCAUCGUUUACUGUGAAAAAAUUAGAGUGUUCAAAGCAGGCUUAUGCCGUUGAAUAUAUUAGCAUGGAAUAAUAAGAUAGGACUUUGGUACUAUUUUGUUGGUUUGCGCACCAAAGUAAUGAUUAAUAGGGACAGUUGGGGGUAUUCGUAUUCCGUUGUCAGAGGUGAAAUUCUUGGAUUUACGGAAGACGAACUACUGCGAAAGCAUUUACCAAGGAUGUUUUCAUUAA